CCUGGAUGCAGGUUGCUGAAACCGUUGCUGUCCUUGUUUUCAUCCUGAAUGAUGAGCUGGAGUCCACUCUCCUCCUUUGACAGGUUCUUUAUACAGACAGAAGACAGAAACAGAACGAGGCUGAGAGACAGCAAAACAAAGCCGAUACUAAGAAUCACACGAAUGGAGUCUCCACCAGUCGCUGCUGAAACAUCACAUCACAGUCAGCACACAGGGGACGAAGUGCUUGCAGGUCACAGCAGUCAGAAUGAGAAGCAGUCCAACAAUUCCCACCAUGAGGAGGACCAUACCUGAAC